rnacentral:rRNA from 1 species
CUAAGGUAGCAUAAUCAUUAGUUUUUUAAUUGAAAACUUGUAUGAAUGGUUGAACAAAAGAAUAACUGUCUCUUUAUCUAAUAUUGAAUUUACCUUUUAAGUGAAAAGGCUUAAAUUUUUUAAGGGGACGAUAAGACCCUAUAAAGCUUUAUAAUUAAAUAGUAUUUUAUAAAUAUAAUUUAUAAAAAUAAAGUAAAAUAAUCUUAUUUUGUUGGGGCGACAUAGAUAUAAAUACAUAUAACUGUCAAAAAAUAAUACAUAAAUUUAUGAAUAAUAAAAUGAUCCUUAUUUUAAAGAUUAAAAGACUAAG